rnacentral:rRNA from 1 species
GAUGAACGCUGGCGGCGUGCCUAAUACAUGCAAGUCGAGCGAACAGACUUGGUACUUGUUCCACUUGGGUGAGCAGCGAACGGGUGAGUAACACGUGGGGAACCUGCCUUUAAGAGGGGGACAACUUCUGGAAACGAAUGCUAAUACCGGAUAAUAUCUUUAAACACAAGGUUUAAGAGUGAAAGAUGCAAUUGCAUCACCCAAAGAUGAUCCCGCGUUGUAUUAGCUAGUUGGUGAGGUAAAGGCCCUACCAAGCGAAGAAACAUAGCCGGCCUGAGAGGGGGGUCGGCCCAAAUUGGAACGGGACACGGGCCAAACCCCCUCGGGAAGCAGCAGUAGGGAAACUUUCGCCAAGGGGGGAAAGCUUACCGGGCCAACGCGGGGUGGGUGAUGAGGUUCUCGGAAUGUUAAACCCUUUUUAUAAGGGAGAACGAAGUUUGGAAGUAAAAGCGCAUCAAGUGACGGUAACUACCCAGAAAGCGACGGCUAACUACGUG